rnacentral:rRNA from 1 species
GACGAACGCUGGCGGCGUGCCUAAUACAUGCAAGUAGAACGCUGAAGGAGGAGCUUGCUCUUCUGGAUGAGUUGCGAACGGGUGAGUAACGCGUAGGUAACCUGCCUGGUAGCGGGGGAUAACUAUUGGAAACGAUAGCUAAUACCGCAUAAAAUUGAUUAUUGCAUGAUAGUCAAUUAAAAGGUGCAAUUGCAUCACUACCAGAUGGACCUGCGUUGUAUUAGCUAGUUGGUGAGGUAACGGCUCACCAAGGCAACGAUACAUAGCCGACCUGAGAGGGUGAUCGGCCACACUGGGACUGAGACACGGCCCAGACUCCUACGGGAGGCAGCAGUAGGGAAUCUUCGGCAAUGGACGGAAGUCUGACCGAGCAACGCCGCGUGAGUGAAGAAGGUUCUCGGAUCGUAAAGCUCUGUUGUAAGAGAAGAACGAGUGUGAGAGUGGAAAGUUCACACUGUGACGGUAUCUUACCAGAAAGGGACGGCUAACUACGUG